CCUACGGGGGGCAGCAGUCGAGAAUCAUUCACAAUGGGGGAAACCCUGAUGGAGCGACGCCGCGUGGGGGAAUGAAGGUCUUCGGAUUGUAAACCCCUGUCAUGUGGGAGCAAAUGAAAAAAACAGUACCACAAGAGGAAGAGACGGAUAACUCUGUGCCAGCAGCCACGGUUAAUAAGAGGGCUCAAGCGGGUUUCGGAAUCACUGGGCGUAAAGUGUGCGGAGGCCGUUUCGGUAGUCGUGAGUUAAGGGCGCGGUCUCAAGCCGCGGACGGGAAAUGAGACUGCGAGACUAGAGUAAGGGAGCGGGAACCGGAAUUCUCGGUGUAGCGGUGGAAUGCGUAGAUAUCGAGAGGAACACUCGUGGCGAAGGCGGGUUUCUGGACCUUAACUGACGCUGAGGCACGAAGGCCAGGGGAGCGAAAGGGAUUAGAUACCCGGGUAGUC
rnacentral:rRNA from 1 species